rnacentral:rRNA from 1 species
CAGCCGCCGCGGUAAUACGAAGGGGGCUAGCGUUGUUCGGAAUUACUGGGCGUAAAGCGCACGCAGGCGGCUCGAUAAAUUAGAAGUGAAAGCCUUGGGCUUAACCUGAGAAUUGCUUUUAAGACUGUCGAGCUAGAAUCCAGAAGAGGGUAGUGGAAUUCCGAGUGUAGAGGUGAAAUUCGUAGAUAUUCGGAAGAACACCAGUGGCGAAGGCGACUACCUGGUCUGGCAUUGACGCUCAUGUGCGAAAGCGUGGGGAGCAAACAGGAUUAGAUACCCCGGUAGUCCCUGUCUCUUAUAU